UUUCCGCCCGGUGCCUGAUGUCAGAGGUCAGACGCUCCGGCCAGAGCUUCCUCCGGGUUCCGGGUUGUGAGUGCCCCGCUCUAGCCUCAGAGCCUGUUUUGAUCGCUUGGGAAACCUCACCUAGUCAACAGCGAUAAUGCCUAGAUAUUCCUGUGCUGCCAGAGAAGGGCGGCUGUCAUUUCCCCAGGACAUUCCGGGGAGGACCUAUAGCUGUAGCCUCCCUGGUAGCUCUGUAGAAAAUAUUCAUAGAACUCUUCAGAAUGUCACCAAGAAACCGAGGUCGUUUGGGGAAACAUCUAAAUGCCACGUAGACAAUAAAAUAAUACUAUGGCUGAAUACUUAGAAAUGUGCAAAGACGUUGAGAAUUUGUUAGGAGACGUUAGUUACAAAACUUUUAAAGGUUUGCAAAGAGAUCAGAUAAUGGUACCGCUCAAUUUCAGCACCUGGGCGGCAGAGGAUCAGGAGCUCUGUCCUCAGCUGUGGAGAGAGUGCAAAGGGAGCCUGGGCUACCAACCUGAAGACUUUGUCUUUAAAAUAUAACAAAACCUAACGUCUGUAGUGAUCUGCAGUGCUUAUGGUGUCCCCUCUACCUCCAUUUUUCCUUACCUUUAUUUACUUUAGCAAAUGAUGUAAACAGCUACUUCUGUAACAAUAAAAAGGGCUGACUCAUGACAGGAAGUGACCAGAAGAUUGCCCAAUAUCUGAAGUGGAAAUUCCUGAGCUUACGAAAGUUUUACUUGCUCAGAGAUAAAUCUGUAAUGGAUAAGUAGGAUAAGUAGCAACACAGCCAGGGGAUGUCUAUUAACUGUUCAAGUCUGUCCCACGUGUGAGCUUUGCUUUUUCUUCAGAUAAAGGAUAGACUAUGCUAUCUUGUAGUCAUGAUUAUAUAUUUUCUUGUGGGCAAUAACCUCUUCAGGCCAUCGUUGCCACGUAUGCUUGCUUUCCAAAUGUAGAAAAGAAUCUGAGGUAAGUUUAGCUAUUUCCUCAUUACUCCUGGAUAUGAUUUAUUGUCUACUCUGUCUAAAAUGUUUAAGAAAAUUCAACUUGUUCCUGAUCCAGUAGCUCACCAUUUGCUUAGUAUGAUCUCCCUGCAGUGAAAAUUGUGCUGUUUCCUCCAGUACCUUUUGGCAAUUUGUUUUACAUACAAAUUUCUGAUCUCAAAAGGCAUUGGGGUAUGUGGACUGUGGAAGGUUAGCUGAAAGGGGAACUCUGUCUAUGCAGCCAUGGAGAAGUCAUGUCAUCAUCCAUGCUGCAGUGAAACUUUCUGGCCGUGCAGAUGCCCUAGGCACUUACUCCUGUAAGGAACCCUUCACCCAUGCUCUGAAGUAAGCUGAAUAAACUUAGAGUGCCCUAAGUCGGACCUGGGGAUUUUGCUUUGAUUUAUUGUUGUUGCUUUAUAAAGAGGCUGGGUAUUUGUUUACAUCUUCCCAGGGAAAGAAUUGUUCUCAAAACAAUGCACCCACAUAAAACGUGAUAUAACAAGACCAUAAUGUAUAUUUAUAUUUCUCUCUGUGAUCAUUUUACUUCCAUCUGGAAAGGGUUAAGAAGUUUUUAAAAUCAUAAUAACAGCUAUAUGUGAAUUAUUACCGUAUUGUUUGCUAAAAUAUCAUGGUGUAUUCAUGAAUACAAAUCUUCAACUUGGUUUUGCUUAUCAUUGCCUCCUCUUAUUAUUUCUCUGGUUCAAAGCUUUAUUUCCAAAUACAGUUCUCAAUUAAAUAAACUUUCUAUCCAAACAAUUAAA
rnacentral:lncRNA from 1 species